rnacentral:rRNA from 1 species
AGCGCAGGCGGGAGAACAAGUUGGAAGUGAAAUCCAUGGGCUCAACCCAGGAACUGCUUUCAAAACUGUUUUUCUUGAGUAGUGCAGAGGUAGGCGGAAUUCCCGGUGUAGCGGUGGAAUGCGUAGAUAUCGGGAGGAACGCCAGUGGCGAAGGCGGCCUACUGGGCACCAACUGACGCUGAGGCUCGAAAGUGUGGGUAGCAAACA